UACGUAGGUGGCAAGCGUUGUCCGGAAUUAUUGGGCGUAAAGCGCGCGCAGGCGGUCCUUUAAGUCUCAUGUGAAAGGCCACGGCUCAACCGCGGAGGGUCAUUGGAAACUUGGGGACUUGAGUGCAGAAGAGGAAAGUGGAAUUCCAUGUGUAGCGGUGAAAUGCGUAGAUAUGUGGAGGACCACCAGUGGCGAAGGCGACUCUCUGGUCUGUAAAUGACGCUGAGGCGCGAAAGCGUGGGGAGCGAACAGG
rnacentral:misc_RNA from 1 species